rnacentral:rRNA from 1 species
GGUCACCCUUUCUACGCAUGUCAGGCUGCUUGGGUUCAAAGUCAUUCAAAGAACGCACUCUCCCACUCUCGUGGGCGGAUGUAAAUGGCUUUGAGCAUGGGGAUCUGCAACUUGUUGCUUUCCCUGCUUUUCCGACUCUCACCAGUUGGUCACCUUUUCAACAGCUUGCUUUUGGUCUGGGGGUUGGGACCUCUUUCUUUUUGAAGGAGGUUGGCUGCCCCUGCUUUCCAGUCUAUGUUUUACACACCCCUUUUGUAUGUCACAGAAUGUCAUCAAUGGCUUUGCCUAGCAUAGCUAUAAAUUUAUACAACUUUCAACAAUGGAUCUCUUGGCUCUCGCAUCGAUGAAGAACGCAGCGAAACGCGAUAUGUAAUGUGAAUUGCAGAAUUCAGUGAAUCAUCGAAUCUUUGAACGCACCUUGCGCCCUUUGGUAUUCCAAAGGGCAUGCCUGUUUGAGUGUCAUUAAAUUAUCAACCUUUUCUUUUGUAACGAUCGAUCAGGCUUGGAUGUGGGGGCUGCCGGUCUCUCAGAGAUCGGCUCCCCUUAAAUGCAUUAGUGGAACCCUUUGUGGAUCAUUAUUGGCGUGAUAAUUAUCUAUCCCAGUGAUCGUGAAGCAAGCCUAACAAGCA